CCUCGGGACGCAGCAGUGGGGAAUAUUGGGCAAUGGGCGCAAGCCUGACCCAGCAACGCCGCGUGAAGGAAGAAGGCUUUCGGGUUGUAAACUUCUUUUAUGAGGGACGAAACAAAUGACGGUACCUCAUGAAUAAGCCACGGCUAACUACGUGCCAGCAGCCGCGGUAAUACGUAGGUGGCAAGCGUUAUCCGGAUUUACUGGGUGUAAAGGGCGUGUAGGCGGGACUGCAAGUCAGAUGUGAAAAUUAUGGGCUCAACCCAUAACCUGCAUUUGAAACUGUAGUUCUUGAGUGAUGGAGAGGG
rnacentral:rRNA from 1 species